ensembl:lncRNA
GCUCUUAACAAAGGGAGGAAGGGAGGAAGGAAAGAAGAAAUUGAUCUUAGUAGAACUCAUUUUCCAUUUUCAAUCUAAUAUGUUUCUUUUCUCUUAAGUUCCCUACUUCUAAGUUACUCAGCCAAAUCAAAUCCUAACACCCUGGACUAGUAUAUGCGGUGACAAGCAACUCCAGGGGAGAGAUGGCUUUGUAGUAAUACUUCCUGCAAAUCACACUCUGUGUCUAUCCCCCAGAUUUACUCAAUUUGAGCAGGAUCAGCACAGCUUACUCAUCCCUGACUUUUUUUUUUUUUUUUUUUUUGCUAAUAUACUUGCACACAGCUAGGCAUUUAUCACCUGAAAUUUCUAUAGUUUUGUUUUUCUUCCCCAAGCACAGCCCUCUACAAUUGUUCUUAAUUGAAAUUCAUCUUGAUAAUAUCUGAAAAUCUCUACAGCUUCUCAAGGUUGCUCUGAACUCUAAUGAAAGCUCUGUAGGCUUUCAGACCUAGAAGAAAUCUUGGAUGUAGCGAGUCUGAUCACUCCUCUUCUGCUAUAGAGAAGGCAAUGGGGAUCCAGGGACAUAGAGGACAUUUUCAAGAAUGUAUGAUUUACAUUCAGCACAAAACAGAGUUCAUCUCAGAUGGUUCAACUGAAGAAACUUGAAUAAAGGGACUUUUUACAGAAGUGUGGACAGGAUUAAGAGUAAACAGGACAAUUGUCAGCUGUUGGAGCUAGUCUCAUCACACCUUCCAAAAGCCUCUUAAAACAUUUGUUUUGAAACAGUUAUUCAAAGUAGACCCUCAGAAUUCAGAUAUGAUCAUUUGAAAAGAGAGUGGACUUUGGAAUUCAACAUAGGUUCUAAUCCUGACUCUGCCUCUUACGAGCUGCGUGGCAUUGGGCAAGAAAUAAAUCCCCCUGAAACCUCAGUUU